AGACCAUGAUGAGGACAUUCUAAAAGGAGGUCUUUGAAUCUUUCCAUACACCUAGAGAAUGAUUCGUUGGGUUUCUGACAAAACUAGAGAAUUUCAUUCUUAAGGUU
rfam:Cephalotus follicularis DNA, scaffold: scaffold2738, isolate: St1.